rnacentral:tRNA from 1 species
GGCGAGAUGGCCGAGCGGUCUAAGGCGCCAGACUAAGGAUCAGCUAGCAUCUGCUGGCACAUCUGAUUCCCUCCAGAAUCAUCUGGUCCUCCGGGGCGUGGGUUCGAAUCCCACUCUCGUCA